rnacentral:rRNA from 1 species
GGCCGUACGGGGUGCAGCAGGCGCGAAAACUUUACAAUGCUGGGAACAGCGAUAAGGGAACCUCGAGUGCCAGGUUACAAAUCUGGCUGUUGUGAUGCCUAAAAAGCAUUAUAUAGCAAGGGCCGGGCAAGACCGGUGCCAGCCGCCGCGGUAACACCGGCGGCUCGAGUGGUAACCGUUAUUAUUGGGUCUAAAGGGUCUGUAGCCGGCCGGAUAAGUCUCUUGGGAAAUCUGGCAGCUCAACUGUCAGGCUUUCAGGGGAUACUGUCUGGCUCGAGGCCGGGAGAGGUGAGAGGUACUUCAGGGGUAGGGGUGAAAUCUUGUAAUCCUUGAAGGACCACCAGUGGCGAAGGCGUCUCACCAGAACGGACCUGACGGCAAGGGACGAAAGCUAGGGGCACGAACCGGAUUAGAUACCCGGGUAGUCCUAGCCGUAAACGAUACUCGCUAGGUGUCGGCCACGGUGCGACCGUUGUCGGUGCCGUAGGGAAGCCGUGAAGCGAGCCACCUGGGAAGUACGGCCGCAAGGCUGAAACUUAAAGGAAUUGGCGGGGGAGCACCACAACGGGUGGAGCUUGCGGUUUAAUUGGAUUCAACGCCGGAAAUCUUACCGGGAUACGACAGCAACAGAAGGCCAGACUAGAGAAACU